rnacentral:rRNA from 1 species
CCAAUAGCGUAUAUUAAAGUUGUUGCAGUUAAAAAGCCCGUAGUUGAAUUUCGGGAUUGGCGCAUCGGUCGUGCCUUACGGGGUAUGAACUGGUGCAGUCAAUUUCUCACCUUCUGGAGAACCGCGAUGUCCUUAAUUGGGUGCCGCGGGGAACCAGGACCUUUACUUUGAAAAAAUUAGAGUGUUUAAAGCAGGCAUUUUUGCUUGAAUACAUUAGCAUGGAAUAAUAAAAUAGGACGGCAUGGUUCUAUUUUGUUGGUUUCUAGGACCACCGUAAUGAUUAAUAGGGAUAGUUGGGGGCAUUAGUAUUCAAUUGUCAGAGGUGAAAUUCUUGGAUUUAUUGAAGACUAACUACUGCGAAAGCAUUUGCCAAGGAUGUUUUCAUUAAUCAAGAACGAAAGUUAGGGGAUCGAAGACGAUCAGAUACCGUCGUAGUCUUAACCAUAAACUAUGCCGACUAGGAAUCAGACGAUGUUAAUUUUUUAAUGACUCGUUUGGCACCUUACG